GCGAAUUCUCUGACCGAACGCGCCUUUUUUAAACCGUCACAGUCACUUAAUCCAUCUCCUCACACAGUGGAAACGCUGGAGCUGGCAGGUCGGUGAGGACGGAACACGCUUACAGCUCAUUCAAGUGCCACUGGUCUUGCAGUAUUUCAUCUUUUCCAAACAACCGAGUAAAUUUACAGCUCAUUCAAGUGCCACUGGUCUGUUUUUGGAGAAUUUCAUCUUUAAGGUGCUGUGAGAACGAGCCAUGUCUCCUGUGCCGCCACUGAUGAUGACAUUACAAAACACGUAAUACGGUGGUUCAACUUGGCAGCAGAUAGGGGAAACUCAAGGAGCCGUACCACUGUCAGCACCCAACAGUAGCGUUUCGGUGUUUCACAGUUAACAACUUCUGUGUUUUGAAGUGUUCGUUUAACAGUUAAGUAGUAACAGUUGAGAUAAAGUUUACUACUUUAAAUAGUUUUGUUUCUAUUCAUCUUCAAAAAAAAAACAGUUUCCCCACAAAAAAAUAAGCA